rnacentral:tRNA from 1 species
GCCUGGGUGGCUCAGUGGUUGAGCAUCUGUUUCUGGUCAAAGCAUGAGCUUAGGGUCCUGGGAUCAAGUCCCGCCUCAGGCU